GGUUGAUCCUGCCAGUAUUAUAUGCUGAUGUUAAAGAUUAAGCCAUGCAUGUGUAAGUAUAAAGACCAAGUAGGAUGAAACUGCGGACGGCUCAUUAUAACAGUAAUAGUUUCUUUGGUUAGUAAAGUACAAGGAUAGCUUUGUGAAUGAUAAAGAUAAUACUUGAGACGAUCCAAUUUGUAUUAGUACAAAGUGGCCAAUUUAUGUAAGUAAAUUGAGAAAUGACAUUCUAAGUGAGUUAGGAUGCCACGACAAUUGUAGAACACACAGUGUUUAACAAGUAACCAAUGAGA
rnacentral:rRNA from 1 species